rnacentral:rRNA from 1 species
AACGAACGCUGGCGGCAUGCCUAAUACAUGCAAGUCGAACGAGAAAGCCCUUCGGGGUGAGUACAGUGGCGCACGGGUGAGUAACGCGUAGGUGACGUGCCUAUUAGUGGGGGACAACCAAGGGAAACUUUGGCUAAUACCGCAUGUGUUAGAGGAGAUUGAAAUACUUUAACAAAGAUGCCCUCUGUAUAUGGUAUCGCUAAUAGAUCGGCCUGCGUAGCAUUAGCUAGUUGGUGGGGUAAAAGCCUACCAAGGCGACGAUGCUUAACUGGUCUGAGAGGAUGAUCAGUCACACUGGAACUGAGACACGGUCCAGACUCCUACGGGAGGCAGCAGUAGGGAAUAUUGCACAAUGGGGAAACCCUGAUGCAGCAAUGCCGCGUGAGUGAGGAAGGCC